CCUCACCCUGAGCAUGCAGAAGUUCCCAGGCCAGGGAUCUAAUCCUUGCCAAAGCUGUAACCAGAGCCACAGCAGUGAUAGCACCAGAUCCUAAACCCCCUGAGCCGUCAGGGAACUCCUUUUUUUUCCAACAAAUAUUUUUAUUAUUAUUGCUUAUGUACAUAUCUCCCAAAAGACUGACUGAUGAGCGCUUUGAGUGGUUUCCACUGUUCCUAAAGGCUGGACGGUUUUCAGAGACCCACUGAUGCCUCAGUACCCCCACUGAAGCAGGCAAAGAAAGAGACCGUGAAAACGGCAACGCUCUCUCACUGGAUACUUACAACAUGCCAGGUGGGGGAAUGCACCCCGUUAGCAUCAUCUCAUUAAGUUCCACCUCUGCGAGGGAGGCUACAUUCACGCCCCCGGUCACAGAGAAGAAGACCAAGGCUCAGAGAGGCCCCCAGCGUACCGAGGGCCCUACAGUUGCACAGCCGGAGGGGGGCAGCCCUGGGCGCUGACUGCAGCUUGGCUGACGGCACCCCUUCCACCUGGGUGAACCGAGACAAGGGGCUCUGAACCGUGUCCUCCUUGAUCCCAUCCUGCCUCACCUGACACGUGACAGGUGUAGAAAAGGCAAUGCCACACACGUUCAGAUGCAUCCCCUAAAGAGUCAAAAUGCAGUGAGAAAGGGAGAAAAUGGUAAAAGAGUCGCUCAGAAUUCCCACUUUUAGGUCCUUUUUUAUUUUUGCCUUUUCUAGGGCUGCUCCUGAGGCACAUGGAUGUUCCCAGGCUAGGGGUCUAAUCGGAGGUGUAGCCACCGGCCUACACCACAGCCACAGCAAGUCGGGAUCCGAACCGCGUCUGCAACCCACACCACAGCUCCUUAACCCACGGAGCAAGGCCAGGGAUUGAACCUGCAACCUCGUGGUCCCUAGUCGGAUUUGUUAACCACUGAGCCACGACGGGAACUCCAGACAAUCCCCCUGGUUUUCUCCUUUUUAUUUCCUUUCUCAGCUUGUCCCUGGGGCAUAUGGAAGUUCCCAGGCCAGGGAUCACAUCUGAGCCACAGCUGCAGCAACCCUGGAUCCUUAACCCAUUGCACUGGGCUAGGGGAUCAAACCCUCACCCCCAGAGAACCCCAGAUCCUUAAGCCACUGUGCCACAUUGGGAACUGCAGCAAACCCCCUCUCUAAUACCAGCUCAUUCCUUUCCUUCCAUUGGAGGAAGGAAUUUUGACUGUAGGAAGUAAACCACCAACUAGUUGAACUUCAUUUCUUUACAGACUAGAUAUGCUCAUGAAAGUUUAGCUAUAUUGUGAUUUUUAAAUGUGAAAAGGCCCCCUUCUACUGAAAAGCACCUCGGAUAGGAAAUGAGUCCAUUAUUUUUACACACACACACAUACACACACACACACACACACAUCAUUUUUUAGGGCCACACCCAAGGCACAAGGAGGUUCCCAGGCUAGGGGUGGAAUUGGAUCUGUAGCUGCCGGCCUACACCAUGGCCACAGCAACGCCAGAUCCUUUAGCCCACUGAGUGAGGCCAAGGAUGGAACCCGCAUCCUCAUGGAUACUAGUCGGAUUCAUUACCACUGAGCCACCACAGGAACCCCAACUAGCACCUUUUUAGAGGUGUGUCUAUUAGAAAAAGUGAGGCAGAUAAGCAUUAAGGUGAUGCAUUUCCUUUAAGCCCGACCUGAAUUCAUUUCUUCCACACUCCUGGAAGCAGCAAGUAUUUGUGGGGGAGGGGAAGGAAAAGGGUUAUAGCAUCCUUUUAAAUUUGAGUUUUCAGAAGAGAAUGCUGUCCCCAGUGUGGGAUGACCAGCCUGAACUCUCGCCCAUUUCUUGGAAUCCUAAGGAUUUUGAGCUGACGUUCGCUCAGAUGGCUUUUGAGACUCCCUGCUUGAAUUCUAGCCCUGAAACACUGUAAUGAAAUCACACAUCAAGCAAUGAAAAGAGGAGAGACGUUCUUAUUUCUCUCCCAAGGCGAUGAUGUUGGACAUGCUUCUAACUGUACAGUCAUGUAACUUUCCGCCAAUAAAACUUCCAGACUCGAGGGUCCCCUGAGAGCUGACAUUUUGGGGAGGAAUCUAGGAAGAGGGGCAAGCAGGGAUGUGACAUGGACCUUGGCGUUGUGAUGUCGCAGACAGCCCAGAGAUGCUGAGCCCAUGCUGGGGGCCAAGCAUGGCCCUGGAAAGCCUCGAGGUCCCACUUAGGAACGCCCGAUCUCAUCUCUCCCCAUCCCAGGCAGCAGGUACAGGUGACAUCAAUUUACCUGACAUCACCGAAGCAGGAAGGCACCCUCAAGUUGGAAAUAUCCAAACACCACAACCAGCCUUGUGGUCAUCGGCAUUGUGUUAGACCGAAACCCUUCACUGCUCACACACCUUCCCUCGUAACUGAACACACACCGCGGGUCCUUGAUUUUGCCAAGAGGCCCCUGAUCGCCUGCAGCCACACAACUGCCUCUUGUCUGGAGUGGAGACUGUCUCCUCCCCAGGCAGCCAGCGCCAAUUACCUCGCUGACAGCACCCUCCUCCCACCCCAUCU
rnacentral:lncRNA from 1 species